GCUGUGUUUUCCUCCCGAUUCACAUUCUUAAUCGAUUCUCCGACUCGGUUCUUUCACGAAACCAAGCGCCACCCUUCUUCAUUUAUUGCACGUCUCUCAAUUUUCUCACCCGAUCAUCACUGCAUCGGACCAAUUAACCAAUCUCAAUCCGACGAAAACCCUACUCAAUUCCUUAACUUUCACGAUUUCAUUUCAGGCAUUGUAACUGACUUUGAAGAAAGAACAAUAGCAGUUGAAUUUCUUUGUCGAUAGCUUCGUGGAAUGGCAGAUAAAGCAUGUAUCAAGAG
rnacentral:misc_RNA from 1 species